UACAGGGGGGGCAAGCGUUGUUCGGAAUUACUGGGCGUAAAGGGCUCGUAGGCGGCCAACUAAGUCACACGUGAAAUCCCCAGGCUUAACCUGGGAACUGCGUGUGAUACUGGAUGGCUUGAAUCCGGGAGAGGGAUGCAGAAUUCCAGGUGUAGCGGUGAAAUGCGUAGAUAUCUGGAGGAAUACCGGUGGCGAAGGCGGCAUCCUGGACCGGCAUUGACGCUGAUGAGCGAAAGCGAGGGGAGCAAACGGG
rnacentral:rRNA from 1 species